UGCCCAAUGAUUUAUUUAAUGGCUGCAGUAUUAUGACUGUACAAAGGUAGCAUAAUCAAUAGUUUUUUAAUUGAAAGCUGGAAUGAAUGAAUUUACGAGAAAUUAACUGUCUUUAAUUAAAAAAUAAAAUUUUAUUUUUAAGUUAAAAAGCUUAAAUAUUAUUAAAAGACGAGAAGACCCUAUAGAGUUUUAUAUUUAUAUAAAUUUAUAAUUAAUUAAUUUUAUAAAUAUUUUAUUGGGGUGAUAGAAAAAUAUAUUUAACUUUUUUUUUAUAAAAACAAUUAUAUUUGAUUAUUUGAUCCAUUUUUAUGAUUAAAAGAUUAAAUUACCUUAGGGAUAACAGCGUAAUAUUUUUUUAAAGUUCUUAUUAAAAAAAAUGAUUGCGACCU
rnacentral:rRNA from 1 species